rnacentral:rRNA from 1 species
GACACGACUCUCGACAAUGGAUAUCUUGGCUCUUGCAUCGAUGAAGAGCGCAGCGAAAUGCGAUACGUGGUGCGAAUUGCAGAAUCCCGUGAACCAUCGAGUCUUUGAACGCAAGUUGCGCCCGAGGCCAGCCGGUCAAGGGCACGUCCGCCUGGGCGUCAAGU